UGCAAGUCGGGCGGAAACGAUGGUAGCUUGCUACCAGGCGUCGAGCGGCGGACGGGUGAGUAAUGCUUAGGAAUCUGCCUGGUAGUGGGGGAUAGCCCGGGGAAACUCGGAUUAAUACCGCAUACGCCCUACGGGGGAAAGCAGGGGAUCUUCGGACCUUGCGCUAUCAGAUGAGCCUAAGUCGGAUUAGCUGGUUGGUGGGGUAAUGGCCUACCAAGGCGACGAUCCGUAGCUGGUCUGAGAGGAUGAUCAGCCACAUCGGGACUGAGACACGGCCCGAACUCCUACGGGAGGCAGCAGUGGGGAAUAUUGGACAAUGGGCGCAAGCCUGAUCCAGCCAUGCCGCGUGUGUGAAGAAGGCUUUCGGGUUGUAAAGCACUUUCAGCGAGGAGGAAGGCCUUAAGACUAAUACUCUUGAGGAUUGACGUCACUCGCAGAAGAAGCACCGGCUAACUCCGUGCCAGCAGCCGCGGUAAUACGGAGGGUGCAAGCGUUAAUCGGAAUUACUGGGCGUAAAGCGCGCGUAGGUGGUUAUGUAAGCGAGAUGUGAAAGCCCCGGGCUCAACCUGGGAACGGCACUUCGAACUGCAUGGCUAGAGUGUGGUAGAGGGUAGUGGAAUUUCCUGUGUAGCGGUGAAAUGCGUAGAUAUAGGAAGGAACACCAGUGGCGAAGGCGGCUACCUGGACCAACACUGACACUGAGGUGCGAAAGCGUGGGGAGCAAACAGGAUUAGAUACCCUGGUAGUCCACGCCGUAAACGAUGUCAACUAGCCGUUGGGGAUCUUGAAUCCUUAGUGGCGCAGCUAACGCACUAAGUUGACCGCCUGGGGAGUACGGCCGCAAGGUUAAAACUCAAAUGAAUUGACGGGGGCCCGCACAAGCGGUGGAGCAUGUGGUUUAAUUCGACGCAACGCGAAGAACCUUACCUGGCCUUGACAUGCAGAGAACUUUCCAGAGAUGGAUCGGUGCCUUCGGGAACUCUGACACAGGUGCUGCAUGGCCGUCGUCAGCUCGUGUCCUGAGAUGUUGGGUUAAGUCCCGUAACGAGCGCAACCCCUAUCCCUAGUUGCUAGCAGGUAAUGCUGAAAACUCUAGGGAGACUGCCGGUGACAAACCGGAGGAAGGUGGGGAUGACGUCAGGUCAUCAUGGCCCUUACGGCAAGGGCUA
rnacentral:rRNA from 1 species